rnacentral:misc_RNA from 1 species
GAAAUGCGAUAAGUAGUGUGAAUUGCAGAAUUCAGUGAAUCAUCGAAUCUUUGAACGCACAUUGCGCCCCUUGGUAUUCCAUGGGGCAUGCCUGUUCGAGCGUCAUUUGUACCCUCAAGCUCUGCUUGGUGUUGGGUGUUUGUCCCGUCUCCGCGCGUGGACUCGCCCCAAAGUGAUUGGCAGCCGGCGUACUGGUCCCGGAGCGCAGCACAUGUCGCGCAAACGAGUGCCUUGGUACGGCGGCGUCCAUAAGCCCCUCUCUCACGCUCUUGACCUCGGAUCAGGUAGGGAUACCCGCUGAACUUACGC